AGCAGGCGCGCAAAUUACCCAAUCCCAAUACGGGGAGGUAGUGACAAUAAAUAACAAUAUGGGGCUCUUACGGGUCUCGUAAUUGGAAUGAGUACAAUUUAAAUCUCUUAACGAGGAACAAUUGGAGGGCAAGUCUGGUGCCAGCAGCCGCGGUAAUUCCAGCUCCAAUAGCGUAUAUUAAAGUUGUUGCAGUUAAAAAGCUCGUAGUUGAAUUUCGGAGUUUGUCGGUUGGUCGGGCUUCACUGUCCGCACUGGCCUGAUGGAUUCCUACCUUCUGAAUAACCAGCAUGCUAUUAAGUUAGUGCGUUGGGGAAGCAGAGCUAUUACCUUGAAAAAAUUAGAGUGCUUAAAGCAGGCUUUUGCUUGAAUAGAUUAGCAUGGAAUAAUAAAAUAGGACGGCAUGGUUCUAUUUUGUUGGUUUCUAGGAUCACCGUAAUGAUUAAUAGGGAUAGUUGGGGGCAUUAGUAUUCAAUUGUCAGAGGUGAAAUUCUUGGAUUUAUUGAAGACUAACUUCUGCGAAAGCAUUUGCCAAGGAUGUUUUCAUUAAUCAAGAACGAAAGUUAGGGGAUCGAAGACGAUCAGAUACCGUCGUAGUCUUAACCAUAAACUAUGCCGACUAGGGAUCGGACGAUGUUAAUUUUUUAAUGACUCGUUCGGCGCCUUACGGGAAACCAAAGUGUUUGGGUUCA
rnacentral:rRNA from 1 species